AAGAGGGCUGGUUCCGAAACGUGC
rnacentral:siRNA from 1 species